rnacentral:lncRNA from 1 species
AAAAUCCAUAAAGCCCUUCAAAACACCAAAUAAAUGGCCAAGAAAAUUAUGGAAGGUUGAAAAUAAAAUAACAAACAUAAAAUAAUUUUUUCAAAAUUUUUAAAUUCCUAAAAGUAAACAAAGGAGAAAAGAGAAAUUUUAAGAAAAACAGAAAAUCAAGAAAAUAAAAUGUGAAAAAAAUGAAAGUCAGAUGAAGAAAAAUAACAGAGAAUUUUUGAAAUUAUUUUGAGAAUUUUCUGAUCAAAAAUGAAAUUACUAUGAAUGUUUACAGAAAAAUCAAUUUAAAAUGAAAAAAGAAAAAGAAAUCAAAUCAGGCCUCAUUAAUUGACGUGGCAGAUCCAACAAUCCUCAUGCUAGGGCGCACGAUAAAAAUUAAUCAAAAUAGAACACGAGAUCUAAUUCAAAUUGGAUCAAUC